UCUCUCAACCUGCCCAGACUCAGCUGUCUUCCCUUCAUGGCAAUUGCCUAUCCUGAGGUCCAGAGGAAAUUUAAGGACCUCCGACCCAGGUCAAGAGCAAGGCUGCUGCAGAACAGUGUCACACUGCAGGCACUGGUGGGUGACCUCUAGAUGAGACAACAUACACUGCUGUGGAGGUGGUCGUGCUGUGGAUGUGGUCUCACACAGCAUUUACAGGACUGCCAUACCCUGAAAGUGAUGGCACCACACUGCAAGUGUCAGGGCCUCUGGAAUGACCACAGCCUUCCACCUGCAGUGGUGUUGGGGUCAUCCAACCCUGGUGUUACUGGGUCUGCAGGGGGCCUCUGGAUUCGACACUGUCGUCAUCUGCACUGGAUGAGGACCUCUCUGUUCAAAUCGUCCAUGUUACAGAUGACUACAUGCAAUGGUGAAUAACAUGUUAACAUGUAUUCAGUUGUCCUCCAGUACAAUGAACACUGAUUAUACAACUCCUGACUCCUGCCAGUGGCCACCCAGACUUGGAAGUUCUCUCUCAAGCGCAGGAAACCCAACAGCAGAUUCAUCUGAGCAUGGGCGAGCUGGUGAUGGUGCAGCAGGAGCAGGGGCUGGCUGUACAAAACAUGUCCCAGGCACUUUGACAAUCUGUUGAAGUGCAGAGGAACAUUCUGCAUUCAUUGCAGCAGCUGGUAACACUUGCUGAGCACUUCAUUAAUUAAUUCUAUCAUUUACCUAGAGUAGCAUGUUAAUAUUAGUGCAAUAUAAUACCAAAGCAUUUCUUCACUGUGAUACCUACAAUGCCUUUGUGUUACUUAAAGUACAGAAAUUACAUUAGAGUGCUUUGUGAUGACCUGCUGGUGGGCAUUUCUAUAAAUAUGUUUAUUUAUUUUUUUUUUUUUACUUUUUACAGGAACUAAGUUCUUUUUUUUUUUUUUACUUUUUACAGGAACUGAACUAUGCUCAUAUGUUAUUUAUUUUUUUUCUUUUUCUUGCAAAAACUUUGCCAUUACCAAUCAUUUAAUUUUUUUUAAAUAAAUCUACAGCACUUUUUGUGUUAUUUGUGUUAAUUCAUUUUGUGUUAAUUUGUGUUAUUCAUACCUAAUACUAGCAAGCCACUUAAGUAUUUGAUGAAAUAAAAUGCUGCACUCAUCUCUUUCAUGUAGUAUGCAGUGAUACAUGGAAAACCAUUACUUCACUCAUUACAUGAUUACUGACAUAGGUAAAUGAUACCUGACUUCCUUACUUCAUUGCUGGAAGAAGUUUUGUAUGAUUUCUUGCUGCACAAUUCUGCCUGGAGCACGUAGACCCCUCUGCAGCACAGCAGGGUCGGCACCAGCAUGGGGCACUGCUUCAUCCUCAAGAGGUGGUAGCUGUAAGCAGACUUUUGUGAGGGUUUGAGAGGUCUAGGGGUUGGAACCUAACCCUUCCAUUUGUUUAAAGUUUAUGUUGUACGAGAGGAACAGACGUGUAGUUUGACAUUUAGCAUUUUCGUGAUCCAAAACUGGCCCAAACCAUAAUGACUUUCAAGACACCUUUGUAGGAAAAAAACAAAUGUUAUUUUCGUUAAAUGACGGUACACUUCUGACAAA